CCCGUGAUCCGGGUUGCGGACAGUGUCUGGUGGGUAGUUUGACUGGGGCGGUCUCCUCCUAAAGAGUAACGGAGGAGCACGAAGGUUGGCUAAUCCUGGUCGGACAUCAGGAGGUUAGUGCAAUGGCAUAAGCCAGCUUAACUGCGAGCGUGACGGCGCGAGCAGGUGCGAAAGCAGGUCAUAGUGAUCCGGUGGUUCUGAAUGGAAGGGCCAUCGCUCAACGGAUAAAAGGUACUCCGGGGAUAACAGGCUGAUACCGCCCAAGAGUUCAUAUCGACGGCGGUGUUUGGCACCUCGAUGUCGGCUCAUCACAUCCUGGGGCUGAAGUAGGUCCCAAGGGUAUGGCUGUUCGCCAUUUAAAGUGGUACGCGAGCUGGGUUUAGAACGUCGUGAGACAGUUCGGUCCCUAUCUGCCGUGGGCGCUGGAGAACUGAGGGGGGCUGCUCCUAGUACGAGAGGACCGGAGUGGACGCAUCACUGGUGUUCGGGUUGUCAUGCCAAUGGCACUGCCCGGUAGCUAAAUGCGGAAGAGAUAAGUGCUGAAAGCAUCUAAGCACGAAACUUGCCCCGAGAUGAGUUCUCCCUGACUCCUUGAGAGUCCUGAAGGAACGUUGAAGACGACGACGUUGAUAGGCCGGGUGUGUAAGCGCAGCGAUGCGUUGAGCUAACCGGUACUAAUGAACCGUGAGGCUUAACCUUACAACGCCGAAG
rnacentral:rRNA from 1 species